rnacentral:lncRNA from 1 species
UAGAUGAGAAAGCUGAAAUACUGCAAGUUGAAAUGACUCGUCCUAGAUCCCAGGUCUAGUGAAGAGUGAGCACCAGAAAUCACAUGUACUAGACUACCAGCAGUCAGAUAUAAUCAGCCCCCAAAUCUCCUGUGGUUCACUAUAUAUAAAAGAAAAAAAAAAAACAAGGAAUAUCCAACCAAAACAAGGAAACUUGGAAAAUCAGAACAGUAAGAACAAUUUUUCAACCACCAUGAUUCCAGCAAAAAGGAUUUUCUAAUCACAAGAAAUCCUCCAAAUGGAGACACAAAAUUCUUCACUUAAACAAGAUUGUGCUUUAUAGAGUGGAGGAGAUAAAUG